rnacentral:tRNA from 1 species
GCUGUAAUGGUCUAGUUGGUUAUGACGACUGCCUAACACGCAGUAGGUCCCGAGUUCGAUUCUCGGUUCCAGUA